UACGUAGGGUGCGAGCGUUGUCCGGAAUUAUUGGGCGUAAAGGGCUCGUAGGCGGUCUGUCACGUCGAAAGUGAAAACUCAGGGCUUAACCCCUGAGCCUGCUUCCGAUACGGGCAGACUAGAGGUAUGCAGGGGGAGAACGGAAUUCCUGGUGUAGCGGUGAAAUGCGCAGAUAUCAGGAGGAACACCAACGGCGAAGGCAGCACUCUGGGCCGGUACUGACGCUGAGGAGCGAAAGCGUGGGGAGCAAACAGG
rnacentral:rRNA from 1 species